rnacentral:rRNA from 1 species
GACGAACGCUGGCGGCGUGCUUAACACAUGCAAGUCGAACGGAAAGGCCCUUCGGGGUACUCGAGUGGCGAACGGGUGAGUAACACGUGGGUGAUCUGCCCUGCACUUUGGGAUAAGCCUGGGAAACUGGGUCUAAUACCGAAUAGGACCACGCGCUUCAUGGUGUGUGGUGGAAAGCUUUUGCGGUGUGGGAUGGGCCCGCGGCCUAUCAGCUUGUUGGUGGGGUAAUGGCCUACCAAGGCGACGACGGGUAGCCGGCCUGAGAGGGUGACCGGCCACACUGGGACUGGGAUACGGCCCAGACUCCUACGGGGGGCAGCAGUGGGGAAUAUUGCACAAUGGGCGCAAGCCUGAUGCAGCGACGCCGCGUGGGGGAUGACGGCCUUCGGGUUGUAAACCUCUUUCAAUAGGGACGAAGCGCAAGUGACGGUACCUAUAGAAGAGGCACCGGCCAACUACGU